rnacentral:rRNA from 1 species
AUUGAACGCUGGCGGAAUGCUUUACACAUGCAAGUCGAGCGGCAGCGCGGGGGCAACCCUGGCGGCGAGCGGCGAACGGGUGAGUAACACAUCGGAACGUACCCAGUUGUGGGGGAUAGCCCGGCGAAAGCCGGAUUAAUACCGCAUACGACCUGAGGGUGAAAGGGGGGGAUCGCAAGACCCCUCGCAGUUGGAGGGGCCGAUGGCGGAUUAGCUAGUUGGUGAGGUAAAGGCUCACCAAGGCGACGAUCCGUAGCUGGUCUGGGAGGACGACCAGCCACACUGGAACUGAGACACGGUCCAGACUCCUACGGGAGGCAGCAGUGGGGAAUUUUGGACAAUGGGGGCAACCCUGAUCCAGCCAUUCCGCGUGAGUGAAGAAGGCCUUCGGGUUGUAAAGCUCUUUCGGCAGGAACGAAACGGUGGAGGCUAAUACCUUUCAUCAAUGACGGUACCUGAAGAAGAAGCACCGGCUAACUACGUGCCAGCAGCCGCCGUAA